AUGUAAGUUUUUGCGUGAAGUUUUAUUUAUUUUAAUAAUAAAUAAAUUUUAUAAUAAUCUCAGUAAUUAAUUUUAUCAAUCAAAGAAAUUUGGAAUUAGUAAUUUAAUUAAGUAUUGGUUAAAUUUGUGCCAGCAUCCGCGGUUAUACAAAUAAUACAAAUAAAAAUUUUUUAGUGAAAGUAUAUAUAUAAAAAAUAAAUAUAAAUUUAUUAGGUGAAAUUUUAAAUUUAUUUAAUUUUUUAAUUUAAAAUUAAAUCUUAAAAAUUUUUUAAUUAAACUAGGAUUAGAUACCCUAUUAUAAAAAAUGUAAUAAAAUACACUAAGGUAGUAAUAGUUAUGUUCUUGAAACUUAAAAAAUUUGGCGGUAUUUUAGUCUAUUCAGAGGAACCUGUUCUGUAAUUGAUAAUCCACGAUGAACCUUACUUAAAUUUGUAUAUCAGUUUAUAUAUCGUCGUUAUUAGAAUAUUUUUUUAGAAAAAUAAUUUUCGUAAAUUUUUAAUUUAAUUUAUAUCAGAUCAAGGUGUAGCUUAUGUUUAAGAAGAAAUGGGUUACAAUAAAUUUAUUUAAAUGGAUUUAAAUUUGAAAUAUUUAAUGAAAGUGGAUUUGGUAGUAAAAUUUUAAAGAUUAAAAAUUUGACUUUAGCUCUAAAAUAUGUACACAUCGCCCGUCGCUCUUAUUAUUAAAGUAAGAUAAGUCGUAACAUAGUAGAUGUA
rnacentral:rRNA from 1 species